rnacentral:rRNA from 1 species
UAAGCAAUCUGCCCUUCACAUCGGCAUAACCAUUGGAAACGAUGGCUAAUACCGAAUAUGACUUCGGAUCGCAUGAUCUGAAGUGGAAAGCUCCGGCGGUGAAGGAUGAGCUCGCGGCCUAUCAGCUUGUUGGUGAGGUAAUAGCUCACCAAGGCGAUGACGGGUAGCCGGCCUGAGAGGGUGACCGGCCACACUGGGACUGAGACACGGCAGA